rnacentral:lncRNA from 1 species
CAAGUAAAUACUUUUUGAAUGGUCCAAUAUCAUUCAGUAUCUGUACAAGCAGCACUAUCAAUAGUUUAAUAACAUUUAUAACAACAACAAAAAAUACAACAUAUGAUAUGAGUGUUUAACAAUAAAAGUACUAUAAAAAGUUUCCAACCUAAUGGUAUUAUCACAAGUUUUGCAUCAGUGGGUUUUUUUUAUCAACUCAAAUAAUGGAUAACAAACAUUAUUUAAUAAAACUAUUUAUCUAUUAUUUAGAUUUGAAUAAAAUCUUUGUAGAGACUAUUGUUUUAGUAGGGAGGUCAGAAUAACUAUCAUAUCAUCUGAGUACUAAAUAAACUGUACAGUGACA